rnacentral:rRNA from 1 species
UACGUAGGCAGCAAGCGUUGUUCGGGAGUUACGUGGGCGAUGAAAGGGUGUGUAGGUCGGUUUCUUAAGUUUGCUAGUGCGAAAUCAUCCCCGGGCUUAACCGGGGAGGGUGCGGUGAAUACGUGAGGGACUAGGAGUACGGGAAGAGGAAAGUGGAAUUCCUGGUGUAGCGGGUGGAAUGCGCAGAUAUCAGGAGGAACACCGAUGGCGAAGGCAGUUCUCUGGGCCGUAACUGACGCUGAGGAGCGAAAGCGUGGGGAGCGAACAGG